rnacentral:rRNA from 1 species
GACGAACGCUGGCGGCGUGCCUAAUACAUGCAAGUAGGACGCAGUUGCGAACGGGUGAGUAACGCGUAGGUAACUGCCUAUUAGAGGGGGAUAACUAUUGGAAACGAUAGCUAAUACCGCAUACUAGUAGAUGGACCUGCGUUGUAUUAGCUAGUAGGUAGGGUAAUGGCCUACCUAGGCGACGAUACAUUGGCGAGCCGGGGGGGUGGUCGGGCAAACUGGGAACUGGGAAAGGGCCAGACUCCCUCCGGGGGGAGCAAUAGGGGAACUUCGGAAAUGGGGGGAAACCUGACCGAGGAACGCCGCGGGAGUGAAGAAGGUUUUCGGGUUGUAAAGCUAUGUUGUUAAGGAAGCGGUACUUAACCAGAAAGGGACGGCUAACUACGUGCCAGCAGCCGCGGUAAUUC